CUACGUAGGGUGGCAAGCGUUAAUCGGAAUUACUGGGCGUAAAGCUGUGGUACGGCAGGCGGCUUGCAAGACAGAUGUGGAAAUCCCCGGGACUCCAAGCCUGGGAACCUGGACAUUUGUGAACUGCAUGGCUAGAGUACGGUAGAGGGGGAUGGAAUUCCGCGUGUAGCAGUGAAAUGCGUAGAUAAUGCGGAGGAACACCGAUGGCGAAGCAUCCCCUGGACCUGUACUGACGCUCAUGCAC
rnacentral:rRNA from 1 species